UACAGAGGUCUCGAGCGUUGUUCGGAUUCAUUGGGCGUAAAGGGCGCGUAGGCGGCGGGGUAAGCCUGGUGUGAAAUCUCGGAGCUCAACUCCGAAAUUGCACUGGAUACUGCUCUGCUAGAGGGCUGGAGAGGAGAUCGGAAUUCACGGUGUAGCAGUGAAAUGCGUAGAUAUCGUGAGGAAGACCAGUGGCGAAGGCGGAUCUCUGGACAGCUCCUGACGCUGAGGCGCGAAGGCUAGGGGAGCAAACGGG
rnacentral:rRNA from 1 species